rnacentral:rRNA from 1 species
CGUAGGUGGCAAGCGUUGUCCGGAAUUAUUGGGCGUAAAGCGCGCGCAGGCGGUCCUUUAAGUCUGAUGUGAAAGCCCACGGCUCAACCGUGGAGGGUCAUUGGAAACUGGGGACUUGAGUGCAGGAGAGAAGAGUGGAAUUCCACGUGUAGCGGUGAAAUGCGUAGAGAUGUGGAGGAACACCAGUGGCGAAGGCGACUCUUUGGCCUGUAACUGACGCUGAGGGCGCGAAAGCGUGGGGAGCAAACAGGAUUAGAUACCCUGGUAGUCCACGCCGUAAACGAUGAGUGCUAAGUGUUAGAGGGUUUCCGCCCUUUAGUGCUGAAGUAAACGCAUUAAGCACUCCGCCUGGGGAGUACGGCCGCAAGGCUG